UUUUUAUUUAUUCUCAUUCACAUUGUAAUCGUAUAACCUCUAUAAAGCCUAUUACAAUGAACUACGCAAAACAUAUAAUACCCUAGUCCGCUUCGGUUACAGGGUACAAACACCAACAAUACCACCGACAACAACAACACCAUGGAAAUUCUCAUCGACAUUGGGUGCGUUAAUGGUUCGUGCUACAUUGCACAGGGCGAGGUCAUGGUGGUUAAAGCUCAAUGAGGUGUUGCCCAUGAUUUAGUUGGUUUGGCUUGGUUUAGUAUCUCUGUUCCGGUCCCUGUAGUUGUAGCCCCUGGUGCAGGGGUGGCUGCUGUUGUUGUGGUUGCAUUUUGCGGUUGACAGUAGCGCGUGUGUUAUGCAAAUUGAGUGCAGCUGUUAUCAGAGGAGAAGCCGCAAAAAAUGAAAAUAAAUAAAAAAAAUAAAAAAGGAGACGGGAGCAAACAGAUAAUGCUUGAUAAAUGUGUGUAGCCCCCAUAUAGAGCCCCCAAGCCCCCCUCAACACACAAGUCAAUGGCCGCCAGAUGACAACCGGGAUAAAGAGUUUUUCUCUCUCUUUUUCUUUAACAACAUAAAGCGUCUUUUAACAGCUUGGCGCCCCACACACACUCUCCCCCACCUCCCACACUGUAUGUCCCUCUUUAUAUGCAAAUUUGCAAAAGGGUUAACAUUUGACUGAAGGCGGCUGUAUUCAAUAUUCCGAGUGAACCGAAACGGAGAUGAGUUUGUUCUGAUAAAGCCUUUAAGCCAUUUUUAGUUGAUUGUGGUACGGAAAAAAAUCAGAAGACAUCGAUGGUUUAGUGGAUCGACCGGGGGAUACCCAUUGUUAUGGGGGGCGGACGAAGCUCAAUUCAAGACGAUAUUGAUUAU
rnacentral:sRNA from 1 species